UACGGGGGGUGCGAGCGUUUGUCCGGAAUCACUGGGCGUAAAGGGCGCGUAGGUGGUCUGAUAAGGGUGUGGUGAAAGCCCGGGGCUCAACCCCGGGUCGGCCGUGCCGACUGUCAGACUAGAGUGCUGUAGGGGCAGGCGGAAUUCCGGGUGUAGCGGUGGAAUGCGUAGAGAUCCGGAGGAAGACCGGUGGCGAAGGCGGCCUGCUGGGCAGAUACUGACACUGAGGCGCGACAGCGUGGGGAGCAAACAGG
rnacentral:rRNA from 1 species